rnacentral:tRNA from 1 species
GCGGAUGUGGUGUAAUUGGUAGCCACGCCAGACUUAGGAUCUGGUGCCGCGAGGCGUGGGGGUUCGAGUCCCUUCAUCCGCACAA